AGAGUUUGAUCAUGGCUCAGAGCGAACGCUGGCGGCAGGCCUAAAACAUGCAAGUCGAACGCCGUAGCAAUACGGAGUGGCAGACGGGUGAGUAACACGUGGGAACGUGCCCUUUGGUUCGGAACAACACAGGGAAACUUGUGCUAAUACCGGAUAAGCCCUUACGGGGAAAGAUUUAUCGCCAAAGGAUCGGCCCGCGUCUGAUUAGCUAGUUGGUGGGGUAACGGCUCACCAAGGCUACGAUCAGUAGCUGGUCUGAGAGGAUGAUCAGCCACACUGGGACUGAGACACGGCCCAGACUCCUACGGGAGGCAGCAGUUAGGAAUCUUGGACAAUGGGCGCAAGCCUGAUCCAGCCAUGCCGCGUGAGUGAUGAAGGCCUUAGGGUUGUAAAGCUCUUUCAGCGGGGAAGAUAAUGACGGUACCCGCAGAAGAAGCCCCGGCUAACUUCGUGCCAGCAGCCGCGGUA
rnacentral:rRNA from 1 species